CAGCUCUUACCAGUCGCUCUGUUGCCUGACAUCAUCUCAUUUCCAUUGCCCUGGAGUUGGAGGAGCAAGAAACCACAUCCUCGGCUCUCCUUUAUUCACAUCAUUCAAAGGUCUCGCCUCUUCUCCAUUUUGCGAUGCAUCUGUGAAAUGCUGUUGCCUCCUCCUAGACGUCUACCCCACGCUGCUUGCUGAGACCAUCCUUCAGUAAGAAGUUGCAGUAUGGAUUCACUCCUUGAACCUUUCCCAACUGGGCUGUAACACUUCUUUUCAUUCUUCAGUCAACUUAUAUUAUGUUAAACUCAAUACAAGGUAAAUUUGGGGGGCUUUUAUUAAUUUGAUCCUGUCAACUGAACUGUAAACCUGCAAUUGACGAUUGAAUCUUCUGCCUCUUCGUAUAAUCCAUAACACCUCGCAUGGUGCUUAGCAGUAGAAGGUGCUCAGUAAAAAUAUUUGACCAGCUCAUGCAGAAAGAAAAU
rnacentral:lncRNA from 1 species